AUGGAGGUGGAGACCGUCGAGCUGGGCUACCGCAACCUACGCGCCCUCGUCCUGCUCGACGCCGACUCGCGCCGCCCCGUCCUCACCGUCGAGGAGGUCGGCACAAGCCGGCGCCGGUGGCAGGCGAUCAGGGGCGGGGGCGCGAGCCGGAGCAAGCGGCUCUUCGUCGCCGUCGACAAGAGGCAGGUUUGGGAGACGGGGAUCCUUGUCCACGUGUUCGUCGAGGGAAAUUCCUCCGUCGACCCAGACUACAUCGUCCACGGCAGCUACCACAAAGGAGCGAUGACCGUCUCCCGCGGCGGCGGCGGGGAAGAUGUUGCGCGGAUCGGCAAGGAGGUGAGCAGCAUCUCGAGCGUCAUGAAAGGAGAGUACACGUACCAUGUCGAUAUCAUCCCGGACGUGGACCAGGCGUUCGUCCUCGCACUCGCCGUGAUUCUCGACCAGAGGCACAAUUAUGAUUUUGAAAUGCCGUUCGAAACGCUCUGGCAGUGGCUCCAGGCCGCCCCCGCAAGCAUCAGUUUCGGCUUCCACGGUCUGGGGCAGCUCAUACACGGCUGCUUCGACAGCCUCGUCGCCGCGCUCGGGAGCGCGGCCCACGCUCUGGUGGUGCCGUUUGAAGCGGUCUGGCAGUGGCUCCAGGCCGCCGCCGCGGGCGUCAGUUCCGGCUUCGACGGCUUCUGGGAGCACACGCAGGGCAUCUUCGCCGACCUCCCCGCCGCGCUCGCCGGCGCUGCCCACAACCUCGUCCUGUCGUUAGAGUCAUUCUGGCGGUGGGUGCAGAACGCCGUCGGCGGCAUCAACCUCGAUCUGGACGGCUUUUGGCCGCUCGUCCAGCGCUUCGUCAACACGGCCGCGAGCAAGGCCCACGAGCUCGUCCCGGCCUUGGAGGCGCUCUGGCGGUGGCUCAAGGACGCCGCUGCCGUCGCGCUCCCUUACGUGCUGGCCAUCGCCGCGGUCGUUUGCGUCGCGGCCCUGGUCUGGCACUGCUGGCAGAUCCUGUGCACCGCCGCCGUUCAGGUGGCGAAGGCGCUCGUCCAGGUCCUCUGCUCCUGCUGGGGCUGGUUGUAUGGCGUUGCCAUGCUGGUCGGGCCGUGCUGCGGCCACGUUACCAUGGCCGCCCCGGGCGUUGCCGGCGGGCUGCUGAUAUCACGGGUUGCGUUCGAGACGGCCCCGCGGCUGUUCUUCCAGAUCUCCCGCUCCGCUGGCGGCGCCGUGGCCACUGCUGUCUUCUCCACGCCCACCAUCGCCUCGGCGGUCGCUGCGCCGGUCGCCGCCCUUUUCAGCGGCUGA
rnacentral:rRNA from 1 species